rnacentral:pre_miRNA from 1 species
ACUGUAUGUCAUGGAUGAAGAAAGAAUAAAACAAUUAAAACUGAAAGAUGUGGUUGCAUUGUCCCUGUUUUGAUUGUUUUAUUCUUUCUUCAUCCAUGACUUGAACCAA